rnacentral:tRNA from 1 species
CGCGGCGUAUCCAAGUGGUCGAAGGGAACGGUUUCAUACCCCGUUUGUCGCAGGUUCGAAUCCUGCCGUCGCGU